CCUACGGGAGGCUUCAGUAGGGAAUAUUGCUCAAUGGGGGCAACCCUGAAGCAGCAACGCCGCGUGGAGGAUGAAGGUUUUCGGAUUGUAAACUCCUUUUGUUAGAGAAGAUAAUGACGGUAUCUAACGAAUAAGCACCGGCUAACUCCGUGCCAGCAGCCGCGGUAAUACGGAGGGUGCAAGCGUUACUCGGAAUCACUGGGCGUAAAGAGCGCGUAGGCGGGAUAGCAAGUCAGAUGUGAAAUCCUAUGGCUUAACCAUAGAACUGCAUUUGAAACUGUUAUGCUAGAGUAUAGGAGAGGUAGGUGGAAUGCUUGGUGUAGGGGUAAAAUCCGUAGAGAUCAAGAAGAACACUCAUUGCGAAGGCGACCUGCUAGAACAUAACUGACGCUGAUGCGCGAAAGCGCGGGUAGCGAACAGGAUUAGAUACCCUAGUAGUC
rnacentral:rRNA from 1 species